rnacentral:rRNA from 1 species
AUUGAACGCUGGCGGCAGGCCUAACACAUGCAAGUCGAACGAGUGGCGGACGGGUGAGUAAUGUCUGGGAAACUGCCUGAUGGCGGGGGAUAACUACUGGAAACGGUAGCUAAUACCGCAUACCAUCAGAUGUACCCAGAUGGGAUUAGCUAGUUGGUGGGGUAACGUCUCACAAAGGCGACGAUCCCUAGCUGGUCUGAGAGGAAUACCAGCCACAUGUGAACUGAGACACGGUCCAGACGCCUCCGGGAGGCAGCAGUGGGGAAUAUUGCACAAUGGGCGCAAGCCUGAUGCAGCCAUGCCGCGUGUAUGAAGAAGGCCUUCGGGUUGUAAAGUACUUUCCGCGGGGAGGCGUUACCCGCAGAAGAAGCACCGGCUAACUCCGUGCCAGCAGCCGCGGUAAUUC